rnacentral:rRNA from 1 species
UAACACAUGCAAGUCGAGGGGCAGCGGGGAGGAAGCUUGCUUUCUCCGCCGGCGACCGGCGCACGGGUGAGUAACACGUAUGCAACCUGCCCCUGUCAGGGGGACAACCCGCCGAAAGGCGGGCUAAACCCGCGUACAUGCCACCGGGGCAUCCCGGAGGCAGGAAAGGCUUCGGCCGGACAGGGAUGGGCAUGCGGCGCAUUAGGCAGUAGGCGGGGUAACGGCCCACCUAACCGACGAUGCGUAGGGGUUCUGAGAGGAAGGUCCCCCACACUGGUACUGAGACACGGACCAGACUCCUACGGGAGGCAGCAGUGAGGAAUAUUGGUCAAUGGUCGGGAGACUGAACCAGCCAAGCCGCGUGAGGGAGGAAGGUACAGAGUAUCGUAAACCUCUUUUGUCAGGGAACAAAGACUGGGACGCGUCCCCGGAUGAGUGUACCUGAAGAAAAAGCAUCGGCUAACUCCGUGCCAGCAGCCGCGGUAAUACGGAGGAUGCGAGCGUUAUCCGGAUUUAUUGGGUUUAAAGGGUGCGCAGGCGGUCUGUUAAGUCAGCGGUCAAAGCCCGGGGCUCAACCCCGGCCCGCCGUUGAAACUGGCAGUCUCGAGUUGGAGAGAAGUAUGCGGAAUGCGCGGUGUAGCGGUGAAAUGCAUAGAUAUCGCGCAGAACUCCGAUUGCGAAGGCAGCAUGCCGGCUCCACACUGACGCUGAGGCACGAAAGCGUGGGUAUCGAACAGGAUUAGAUACCCUGGUAGUCCACGCAGUAAACGAUGAAUGCUGGCUGUCCGGGGGGACUGACCCCUGGGUGGCGAAGCGAAAGCGAUAAGCAUUCCACCUGGGGAGUACGCCGGCAACGGUGAAACUCAAAGGAAUUGACGGGGGCCCGCACAAGCGGAGGAACAUGUGGUUUAAUUCGAUGAUACGCGAGGAACCUUACCCGGGCUCAAACGGGGAGUGGCGCAGGCAGAGACGCCUGUUUCCCACGGGACACUCCCCGAGGUGCUGCAUGGUUGUCGUCAGCUCGUGCCGUGAGGUGUCGGCUUAAGUGCCAUAACGAGCGCAACCCCCGCGUGCAGUUGCUAACAGUCAACGCUGAGGACUCUGCACGGACUGCCGGCGCAAGCCGCGAGGAAGGCGGGGAUGACGUCAAAUCAGCACGGCCCUUACGUCCGGGGCGACACACGUGUUACAAUGGGUGGUACAGCGGGAAGCCAGGCGGCGACGCCGAGCGGAACCCGAAAUCCACUCUCAGUUCGGAUCGGAGUCUGCAACCCGACUCCGUGAAGCUGGAUUCGCUAGUAAUCGCGCAUCAGCCAUGGCGCGGUGAAUACGUUCCCGGGCCUUGUACUCACCGCCCGUCAAG